rnacentral:lncRNA from 1 species
GGCAGAUAGCGAGGUAUAGGAAUCAAAUCAUCGAGGUGGGCUUCUAGAUCUCAGAUUUUUUUGAGGUUGAUCGGAGUUAUUUUGUUAAUUUCUAUAAUCUUCUUCUCAGAGCUGCUUUUCCCCAUUUCCUUCUUUACCUGCCGAAAUAUACUUUCUUCUUCUUCUUCAACCUGAGCAUAUUUUUGGAUUCAGAUUAGCAUUUGCUC